rnacentral:lncRNA from 1 species
CAUAGGUGGAUUGAGCCAUCAUAUUCAUGCGCUAAAGGAAAUGGUAGUAUUCCCACUUUUAUAUCCAGAAAUUUUUGAAAAGUUUAAAAUUCAGCCUCCAAGGCAUAUUUGAUGAGACCUUCUAUAAUAUUUUUUGAUGAAAUAGAUGGAUUAGCUCCAGUUCGCUCUAGCAGACAAGAUCAGAUCCACAGCUCUAUAGUAUCAACCCUCCUUGCCCUUAUGGAUGGAUUAGAUAAUAGGGGUGAAAUUGUUGUUAUUGGUGCUACAAACAGACUUGACUCUAUAGAUCCUGCACUCAGGAGACCUGGUCGUUUUGACAGAGAAUUCCUCUUCAACCUGCCUGAUCAAAAGGCAAGAAAACACAUCUUACAGAUCCAUACCAGGGACUGGAAUCCAAAAUUGUCAGAUGCAUUUUUAGGUGAAUUGGCU